GUCCCUUCGGGGACAUCCGAUAAAAUUGGAACAAUACAGAGAGAAGAUUAACAUGGCCCCUGCACAAGAAUGACACGCACAAAUCGAAAAAUGGUCUAUACAUGU